UGAGGAAUAUUGGACAAUGGGGGCAACCCUGAUCCAGCCAUGCCGCGUGCAGGAUGACGGUCCUAUGGAUUGUAAACUGCUUUUAUACGGGAAGAAACCCUGGCUCGUGAGCCAGAUUGACGGUACCGUAGGAAUAAGGAUCGGCUAACUCCGUGCCAGCAGCCGCGGUAAUACGGAGGAUCCAAGCGUUAUCCGGAAUCAUUGGGUUUAAAGGGUCCGUAGGCGGCCCGUUAAGUCAGCGGUGAAAUCUCCCGGCUCAACCGGGAAAUGGCCAUUGAUACUGACGGGCUUGAAUUACCAGGAAGUAACUAGAAUAUGUAGUGUAGCGGUGAAAUGCUUAGAGAUUACAUGGAAUACCAAUUGCGAAGGCAGGUUACUACUGGUGGAUUGACGCUGAUGGACGAAAGCGUGGGUAGCGAACAG
rnacentral:rRNA from 1 species